rnacentral:lncRNA from 1 species
AUUCAGGGUUGACCAACAUAUCUCAUGUUCAUGUCAAUCAGGAAACAAUUUCUGAUUGUCAGAGCAUUGCGGAAUUCAAAGGGUAUACCUGACCCAAUUUCUGACCUCAGGGGAAGAAUAGACAAUGCUCGCAGAAGAGAAGAUGUACAACGUGGGCAGGAAAGGGGAAAUUUCUGGGAUUGGAGUUUGACUCCAGAAGUUGGGGAUUUCAGUAAGGUGGGUCAAAAGGCUGCAGUCAAGAAGAAGCAGUUACCCGAGUUGUUCCAACUUCCUGCUGGCCUUUGUGAAUGAACUGAGGUGGGUUCCUUGUCAUGGGGCUAUCCUAGGAGAGGAAGUGGAUUUACCAGCAAAGUGCAGUGAUUCCUGAGAAACUCUUACUGAAGCUCCAGGGCCACAUGGGUGCCCAGGCCAUAGCUCCCACCAGGCCUCUGUCAAGACCAAGUCCAGACAAAACUUGCUGUUGAGAAGGGGACCCUCACUCUGCACCAGGUUUUAUUCUCUUUAGCUCAGGACUCAGCAGAUCCAAGCUGUAGAUUGGAGAUAUAAACAGACAAGGUUGAGAAAGGCAAGAGGCAAGGCAACCCAGGUGCCCUAUGCGACUGACUUGCCAGGGAGAGCAGAUCCCGGGUCUCAUUUCUUUCUCCUUCCCCAGCAUCCACAAAGCCCUGCAUGUUG